rnacentral:rRNA from 1 species
UGGGGGGCACCCUGAUCCAGCCAUGCCGCGUGUGUGAAGAAGGCCUUUUGGUUGUAAAGCACUUUAAGCAGUGAAGAAGACUCCGUGGUUAAUACCCACGGACGAUGACAUUAGCUGCAGAAUAAGCACCGGCUAACUCUGUGCCAGCAGCCGCGGUAAUACAGAGGGUGCAAGCGUUAAUCGGAAUUACUGGGCGUAAAGCGAGCGUAGGUGGCUUGAUAAGUCAGAUGUGAAAUCCCCGGGCUUAACCUGGGAACUGCAUCUGAUACUGUUAGGCUAGAAUAGGUGAGAGGAAGGUAGAAUUCCAGGUGUAGCGGUGAAAUGCGUAGAGAUCUGGAGGAAUACCGAUGGCGAAGGCAGCCUUCUGGCAUCAUAUUGACACUGAGGUUCGAAAGCGUGGGUAGCAAACAGGAUUAGAUACCCUGGUAGUCCACGCCGUAAACGAUGUCUACUAGUCGUUGGGUCCCUUGAGGACUUAGUGACGCAGCUAACGCAAUAAGUAGACCGCCUGGGGAGUACGGCCGCAAGGUUAAAACUCAAAUGAAUUGACGGGGGCCCGCACAAGCGGUGGAGCAUGUGGUUUAAUUCGAUGCAACGCGAAGAACCUUACCUGGUCUUGACAUAUCUAGAAUCCUGCAGAGAUGCGGGAGUGCCUUCGGGAAUUAGAAUACAGGUGCUGCAUGGCUGUCGUCAGCUCGUGUCGUGAGAUGUUGGGUUAAGUCCCGCAACGAGCGCAACCCUUGUCCUUAGUUACCAGCGGGUUAAGCCGGGAACUCUAAGGAUACUGCCAGUGACAAACUGGAGGAAGGCGGGGACGACGUCAAGUCAUCAUGGCCCCUUA